rnacentral:lncRNA from 1 species
UUUCAACUAACUAUUGGGGAAAGACAUCAAGAUACGCUUCCACGACUUUGUGUAAGUUGUACAUGCUGAAAUCCUGGCCAAAUGUGAUUCGGGUAAUGUUAAGGUACUCAAGAUCAGGCGCAUUUAUUUCAAGGUAAACCCCAACUUCAUCAUCCUCAUUGGCAAUUUCCAACCUUCUUAAGGAAGGUGGGACACAAACUUUGUCCAAGCUUUGCGGAGAAAAACUAAGAUUAGAGGAAGUCUACAUUCAGGGACUAAAUUGACUAACAAAGUCUGCAUUCAGGGACUAAAUUGAAUAACAAAGUCUACAUUCAGGGACUAUUUUGACGAUUUCUUAGCUACUAACGUGACUAAUCUCCAAGAAAAGAAAACAAUUAGUUCAACGUUAUGCAUGCAUGCAUGCCUGAGGUGAUACGAGGUUAGAGGAAGUGAAGCUGAGGUAGGUUGAAACAAAAAAAUUAACUUUCUUUUUUUCCUUCAAACAAAAAAAUUAACUUUUUUUUUUUUGAGAGGAGAUUUUAAAUAACUUUAUUAUUUUGAAUAUACUUUUGAAGAUAUGUUUGAGUAGGUAUUUUGAAAAUUAAAUGAUACUCUUCUGUCCCAGGUUAAGUGAGUUAUUGUGAAAUAUAAAUAUAUAAAGGUGCAAAGAAUCAUAUGAUGGCACUAAAAUGAAAUUCUCAAGAACACAUGAUAACACUGUUCUAUUCUUUACAAAAGAAAACAGCUCUAUCCCAUCCCAUCCUAUAAAUAACUCUUGCUUUUAUAUAUACAGCAACUGCUUCUAUCUUUGACCAAAAAAAAAGUAACUGCUUCUAUCUGUAAUGCAAAAGAAGGUAUAUGAAACCUAUGUAACCUUAAAAAAGCCAAAUCAGAUCUACAGUCCUACUUUCCUUAAAAAAGCCAAAUGUAGGUUGUUAUGCACAAUGGAUGGGAAUCUAAGCAGCAUAUUCUUCUAGUUGGGAUGAGCUGCCAAGAAAUUCCAUCAUGACUAUGUGCAAAGACAAAUACCAUUUUCAAGAGCCUAUGCACAGACUACGUGAUUUCAUGACCGAAACAAUAAUAUAUCAAAAUAUAUUAUCUAUGUUUAAUAAUUUUGUCCGACAAUUGGUUUGCCUUGGCAGCUAAGCGAGCAGUUGAACCGACAGUCAUUGGCUGCAAUGAUAUUUGCCGGACCAUAGCACAGUACUCAGGAUCCUCAGUCUUCCCUUCAUACCUUAUCCACUGUACCAUUUCGUGAUACAUUGGAAAGAACCGCAUCUGAAUUGCUUUGUAUGAGAAGUAUGGUAUAAGAGUUGAGAUCACCACAAAGAAUGUGACUAUCCAAUAGGAAGACGAAGGAGCAAGAGCUUCAACGAAGACUGCGUAAGCGUUUUCCGAAAACCUUGGAGGAAGUGAUCCAUAGAUUAUGAGAAAAAUGUACCAGAAGAAAAUGGAACCCCAGAUGAAAAAAUGUUGGAUCAAGGUGAAGUAACUUAUAGAUAAUGCCAUUUGCAAGUUUACAACCCAAACUACGCAAGUGUACAUGGUUGUUCCAAGUAUUUCUCUUCCGGCAGUAUUUCCCUCGUGAUCAAAAGCUUGGAGCUCCAUGGCUUUGGUGCAGAAGAAGAAAAUUAAUAAGGCGCUAAAGAAUCCGUUAAGCAUCCAGCUGAGUACUCGACGCCAGCUGAAAAGGACAUUUUGCACUCCUUCUUGAUAUAACAAAGGAAACUUGAGGCAGUACCGAGCAGAUACGUCUUGGUCGAAUACACCAAGAGCGACCACAGGAAGUGAUGAAAAGAAGACGUUAUAGAGAGCUAAAAACCAGUCGUUGUAUGCAGGUUCUCCGGAGAAUGAUGCAUACACCUCAUACAAGAAUAGAGUGAAACCAAAUGUGACAUUCUUGUAGAAAAAAUAGCAUAUCUGUCAGAAUAAACAAUUAACACGUUAACAGAAUACCAAACAGUCAGUCAGAGGAACUUCACUAUAAUCUAGAGAUCCAAUUAUAGGCACAGUAAUAUUAAUACCAUCGAUGAGAUCCUCCGGUAACACCAAUGGCCGUGCACCAGAAGUAAUCGUUCCAAAUAUCGGAAUUGUGCAAUUGCAAUAUCACUAGACAUAACAGCCUGUGGAAUUAGAAGGGGAAAAAAGAUAAUGUUGUUUAGAAUAAAGAAAAAAGUAAAAUUCAAUGAAAAAAACAUGAAUAUUGUGUGAAUUUAUGCAGCACCUGCAUUCCUUCAACACCACUUAUACCAACUCCGAUAUCAGCUUCUUGAAGCAUUCCAACAUCGUUAGCUCCAUCGCCGAUAGCUAAUGUUGUUUUCCCGGUUCCAGAUUUGACCAAUCUAGUGACCUUUAAGAUAAAAAUUAGAUAAAUUAUUUCCUAUGAGGCACUCAUAAAGACACUAGACACAACCUUGACACCAGUAAUAAUAAUUUGAAAAGGAGAAUAAUUGUUUCUAAAAUGUAACCAUAUUUUUUAUCAGGACCAAUAUAUAAACACUGGAUCUUUCAAAAACCAAAAUAUAUGAACACAGGGUAGACUGAAAAAUACCAGCGCCUUCUGUUUUGGCGAUGAACGACAACAAAUAACAGAUGCACAACGAAUUGCAAGCUCGAGAAACAUGUUCUUCAUAUCAUCCUCAAGUGCAUAAGCAAGUGACUUCCCAUCAAUGAUUAGCGCAAAUGCCUGCUGAGAAAACCCUCUGUGUGCACUAAGCUGUGCAGCACCUUCACGUAACUGAGAGAGGACACUUUGCCUUGAUGUCUAAAAGAUGAAUCAACGAAAAAUCAGGAUACAAGUUUCCAGCUCUAUACAGUAUCAUCACAAGAACACUAACAUACCAUGAAAUCAUAGUGAAAAACUUAAAUCAUCAAUAAAGGUAAAAUAUACCAACUACCAAGCAAUAUAAAACAACUGAAAGUAUACCAGCUUGCACUGUCACCCUUGUACCCUUAGAAACAGAAGAGUAAUGCUAAGCUUAUGCAGUUACAGUAAUUCUUAAUAUCGCUUUACUAAACUGUUUUGUUCAGAAAACCAGAAUGGAAUCUAAGUUCAAAACGUCAGCAUUAUAAAGCAGAUUAAGCCGCCAUUUCUACUAUAAGAUAUGUUACUAGAAUAUUGCGAUGUUGAAGAGAACCAACUUAUAAACACGCUCACUGAAACUAUACAUUAUAUGCUCUAUAGUCUAUAUACAAGCUGCACCAUGUUAGAUAAAAAACUAUAUUAAGAGAUGAAGGUUUUUUUUACCUUGGUAAUAGCUAUUUUGUCGCCAUCUUUCUCCAGAGCUUGAAUUUCUGGAUUAUCCAAAUGAAUUAUAAUCUGUUUCAUUCCUUGUCUAAGCAAACUACAAGCAAAGCUGCAAUGGAGUAUUUGUGUCAGUUAACUUGAAAAGCAGAUCUCAUGAGGUGAAGCCUAUGUAGCACUGACACUUCACAUUGAAGGUGUGUCCCAUAUGCAACACCGACACGACAUACGUGAUUAGGUCAACUAUUUCAUUUCUUAAAUUAUAACUGGCGUUGAUAUGUCAGUGUUGUGUCCAACGUCUGUGUCAUUGCUUCAUAGGGUGAAGCCAUAGUAUAAAAAAUAAUAACAUUAAAUAUAAUACCCAAUAUUGAUAGCAGUUUCCAUUUUAUCCCCAGUCAAAACCCAAAUCUUAAUUCCUGCUUGGGCAAGCUUGUCAAUGCAAUCAGGAACCUUGCAAAAAAAAAAAGUGCAAUAUAAACAUGAUUACUAGUUCCAUUCCAAUAAUAAUCUUCACAAGUAAAACAUGAUUUUUUUUUUUUUUAUUAUAACUAACCCCAUCUUGGAGCUUGUCCUCUACAGCAGUAGCACCAAGAAGGAUUAGGUUCUUCUCAAUAUUAUCCGAUACUUCCUCAAUCAGUGUUUCCCGAUCUGCACUAACUAAAUUCUUGGCCUCAGAGAAUGUGUUAUCAAACUCCUUGUAUUCCUCUGCUGCAAGUUCACGAUAGGCGAGUAUAAGGGUUCUUAGACCUGCAUCGGCAUAUUCAUGCACAUGUUCCAUGGUUUUCUCUUCAAACUCCCUUCCAUUCUUGGCAAGUCUUUCAAACAUGACACUGCAUGAAAUAUCAAUUAAGGCUGGACAAUGAGUGAAAAACAAAGGACAUAAGUAAACAUUCAAAAUCAUUUAAGGGUACAGAUCAAUUUAUCACAAACCUAUCGGCACCUUUACAGAGUAAUAAAAUUUUCCCUUCGCCAUCUUGUACUAUUACCGACAUUCUCUUCCUUGAGCUAUUGAAUUCUAAAACAUUGAGAAUCUUGUACAUCCUGCAAAUUGAAAGUAGUUACUGAAAAACUGUAUCGUUGAGAUGAAAAAAAAUUCCAAAAAUUGUGGCUUUAACAACAUUUUAGAAGUACAAGCAUGAGUUAGUAUGUAUAAAGUGAAAAUCUUAAAUCCCAAACAGCAUAGUUAUGCAGGAAAUAAUUAAGGUUUGGAAAACCAUUGAACCAUUUUUCUCUCUCAAAACUUAGUUCUUUAAAACACCAUAAAGGUGUAAGGCAAAGGUACAAAGUGUACAAACUCACCUAUUCUAUAUGCAGCUAUAGGACCUGUUUGGAUUGGCUUUUUUGAAUUUAUCUACUAGCAUAAGUACUUGUGAAGCUGUUUGGUAGUGCUUAUGCAAACAAUUUUUCACCUGUCCAUAAGCUGUUUUCAGCUUAUUCCAUAAACUCUCCAGGAAACAUUAUGAAAACAGCUUAUCAAAUACAUAAAAACAGAAUGACUUUAUUUUAUAUUUUAUUAAUAAGUAGCUUAUACAAACAGUUUAGUCUACUUAAUUAAGUUGUUUAUCCAAACAGGGUUGUCUAGUUCUUUUAAUUAAAAAAUUCUUAUUGUCAUUAGAUGAUAAGCUGUUAUAAAAUGUAUAUCCGUCCUAAAGUUGUGUUUCCACGUGCAAGGAAAAUUGCAGCAGUAGCAGAAAAAUUCUAAGCAAUUGAAACAACUAACCUUUCAACUUUCUUGCCUGAAACUGGAUCCAACUCACAUGUCGAUAAACUGGUCUGAGCCCUUUUGAAGAAUUCAAAACCAAUUUCUCUCGCCGCAAUAACAAAUGCAGCUUCAUCCGGAGAUUCAGCCUCGUAGGAGACAUUUCCUGUCUCUUGAUCUAUUUCUGGUAUGGCUGUAUGACAUACGGCCAAUAGACGAAAAAACUUCUGGAUAACAUCUGCAUGAGGUUCAUUAACCCAGUUACCAUUCAUUAUUCUUUCAUCAGUAAAGUUAAAACUUUUAAUGGCUGCUUUUUUAUCAAGAGAAACCCUGAUGUGAUCUUCUUCAGAUAUAUCACACUCGUGAACUAACGAUGAACUUUUUCUUCUAUCCAUGGUUUUCUCAACUUCUGUAACACCACGACCAUAAGCUACACCAGCGAUCGAACAUUUGAUGAAUUCCAUCGAGUUGCAGGUCAAAGUUCCAGUUUUAUCAGAAAGUAUUGUGUCAACUUGACCGAGCUCCUCGUUCAAGUUUGAAGUGCGAGCAUGUGCCGGUUUGUCUGCUUCCUUGUAGUACAUAUGGAUAUCUUGAUUGAUGAAAAUGCUCUGAAGGACUUUUACAAUUUCUAUUGACACAUACAAAGAGAUGGGAAUAAAGAAACCAUACAACAUUAAGGCUGUCAAACAAUGAAAUAUAGCAGCAGCAGCCGGUCUUUUUGGAUCAAAGAAAAUUGUAGAGUCGUCAGGCCUUAAAUACCAUCUUUUCACCGAAUCGUUGUUCAAGUCAUCUUUAGUUAUAAAGCCAAAGAAAAUAGAUCCCACGGAUGCCAUUAGAAACAAAAUACAGAACAAGAAGUAAAUGACUCUAUCCAUCUUCCUCUCAACUCGGCUUCUUUUUGAAGGUGGAUCAGUAGAGUUCUGAAUAACCUUAGUCUCAUGACCAGUGAAGAUAACAGCUCCGAAAAUAUAGUCUGUAUUACGAAGUUUAGAGUCUCGCAGAAGAAGUUGCUGUGGGGAAAGGGCAUAGUUUUGACCUUCAAACUCCAAGCUCCCAACAAACGAGUACAGAUUUGCAUUUGGAUCUUCACAUUUGACAGUAGCUUUAAAUUUUUUGAAGUUGAGAUCCUCAUGUAAGGAAGAUGUUACCUCUAAACCUUGUUUUAGCUUCAAAUUUGUCUCGCCGUCUAAGUUCAUGGUCUCAACAUAGCAAACUGCAUCUUCAUAACUCGAUGAAAGCAAUAAGAGAUCCGCUGGGAAGAACUCAUUCUUCUCUACCUUCACUAUAUUUCCUACCCUCAGAUUCUUCCAUGCAGUAUAUUCAAAAAUGCCAUCAACUUUAUGAACUUUAACUCUUCUAUUGUUCACCUCAAUAUCCUGCAGAAGAAUCUUAUAUGUCACAAAUGAAAUAAAAAAAAAUGAAGGUACUAAAACCAUAUUACAGAGACUAAAAGCGUUACUAACUCAGUAUUUUAUCAUAUGCAGGGACAGUUAAAAAAUAUAAAAUCAGCAUUAGUAACCAUUGAUUAAAAAUAACAAUUUAAAUUUUCACAUAAUACAAGAAAAUCAUUGGCUCCGUCAAGUUUUUUUAGGGGUUACCAUUGGCAUUUUACGCUAUAAAGUGCACCCUGCAACUUAGCAGAUUCAAACAUUGAACAUAUACUGGAGUCACAUGAACAAAUAACGAAGUAAUUGCAGUUCUUCCUUUCGAAACAAUACCGAGAAACUAAACAGAAAAGCUACAAUAUUACAUAAGCUGCCUGCCAAAAUUUUACCUUUUGGUAAAGUACUUCAUGGCCUUGAAAAAAUACCACAAAAUUUUCAAUUAUUUACUGAUUGAUACUCUUUAAGCCAUUAAGUUUGGGUCGAAUUAUUUGAGCUUAUCUACAGGCAUAAACACUCGUGAGACUAUUCAGGGGAGAUUAUGAAAGAAUCUUAUGACAUGUCCAUAAGCUCUCUGGGAUAGCUUAUGAAAACAGAUUAUAGCUUAUAAGGAAACUAUUUUAUUUUAUUUUAUAUUUUGUUGUAAAAAUAGCUUAUGCAGAAGCACUAAUAUGAUAAGAACUUAAGCUAUACAUUCAUAACUAAGUUGUUUAUCCAAACAGAAAAGCUACAAUAUUCCAUAAGUUGCCUGCCACAAAUUUACGUUUUGGUAAAGUACUUCAUAGCCUUGUAAAAAUACCACAAUUUUUUCAAUUAAUUAAAUACUGAUAGUCUUUAAACCAUUAAGUUUGGAUUGACUUAUUUGAGCUUGUCUAUUUGCACAAACACUUGUGAGACUAUUCGGGAGAAAUUAUGGAAGCAGCAUAUGCCUCUCCAGGAUAGCUUACGAAAACAGCUUAUAGCUUAUAAGGAAACAAUUUUACUUUAUUUUAUCUUUCACCGUAAGAAUAGCUUAUACAAAAGCACUUAUAUGAUAAGAACUUAUGCUAUAAAUGCAUAACUAAGUUGUUUAUCCAAACAGAGCCUAAAUAAAUAAUUUAUCUCCCUUAUAUUUGUUUAACACUAAGUUAAAAGAUACUCAUAUCAUAUGUAUACAGAAUAUUCUGAUUCAUAUGGAAUCUCUCUCUCUACACACUUGUACUUCAGGAUAGAGAAGAAGGCAAAAAGUUUCAAAAGUAAACAGAAUCCACAACAGAAAGAGCUGGUAGUUAGAUAGAAUAUAGUACCUGCUUUUUCCUACGCCAAUCUUCAAUACCUUCUUUCACAAUAGUUGCUCCAAUAACAACAACAAGAGGAAGAAUAGCAGUAACAGCUCUAUAAGGAGCAAGUUUUGUGAAAGCCAAAACACCAGUAACCAAAAAAUAGAAAUUUGCAACUCUCCUAAACUGUUCAAAAAGUGAUUUUGGAAAGAAAGUUGCAGCAGUAUAUUUUGUAGAUCUAACAUAAUUAUCUGCAAAAUUCCUUAUCACAGCUUCCUCAGAAGCAGUAGCAGUAGUAGUAGUAGUAGUAGUAGUGUCGUGUUCAUUGCAUAACACCACUCUUGAAUAACCUUUACUACCAAUUUGUGAAUGAUCUCCAUCAACAGAACUUGCUUUGAAACAUGUGAAUGAAUAAAUCUUGCUUAAAUGUAGCUUCCUAUUUUUUCCACCCCUCAUUCUUAAGUCUUAACCACCCUUUUUUCAACAAAAUGAAAUUCAAUAUCAAGAAACAUAAAUUAAAAUAAGCUGAAAUAAUUGGUUUUUCAAAUUCCAAGUGUCACUGCCAAACUAGACUUAGUCAAAAUGGUAAAUUUCCAUAAACCCAAUUUCCAAAGUAUGGUCACUGACAUGAAUUAUAUCCUAAAAAUGCUGAGAGCUUCUUCAAAAAGCAAAAGAAAAAAAGAAAAAAAAAAAAAAACUACUUCCAAUUCCAACAACUACACAAUGCUAUCAUAUCAUAUCACAAACACCUCAUAACCCUAACCAAUAGCAGAAAGACCCAUUAAACAAAAAAACAAAUAAAGUAAAAGAUGCUAAACCCCAGAAAGGUUCCAACAAGAAAAUGCUCAAAAACCCUUAAUUUAAUCAAAAAAAUCAAAACUAUAAAACUAGUAAAAAUCCAAUCUUUAAAACUACCAAGAGAGAGAAAGAAGCGAUACACACAACUAUGAACCGAAUUAGGCCUGCAAAAUUGUGAAAUCUACAAUGAAAAACUGACACAAGACCAAAACAUAGGAUAGUGUCGGCAACAGAAAGUUCUAGAAGAGAAUGAAAAAACAAUACAAAAACUGCAGAUUUGAAUGAUGACAGUAUUGUCUCAAGAACAAGGUUUGAUCAAGCAUUUUGGGUAUAGAAAAGACAAGCAUUUCAUUUUCAGAACAUAAACUAUUCAUAUUUAGUUCAAUGUUUUUUUUUUCAAGAAAGUGGAAAAAAAAUACACUUUUUUUCCGGGAAAAUAAAGUGGGAAAAUGCUAACACAGAUUUCCACGUAAAACAGAUAGAACAAAGUUUUCUUUUUUCUCUCUUUUUCUUUAUCUUUAUUUUCGCGGGAAAAAGCUAUCAAUGAAGCUUUUUUUUUCGUCAAUGGUGGUCACCGAGAAGAAAUAGUGUCACUCUCAAUUUCUAUUUGUUUUUAUUUCCUAUUUAUCCAAAAAAAAAUAAAUCACAAUUAAUAAACCAAUAAAUACGACGACAUUUGAAUGAGAUGAUAAAAAAAUUUCUCUAAGAUACAACAAUGUUAAAUUUUUUUAAGUAAUUCUUUUACUAAUUUGAGUAUAACGAUGCUAGUUAAGAUAGAUAACAAAGAAAUAAUUUUUUGAUUAUAAAAAUGAUGAAAAUUAGUGUCGUGGCAAAUCAAAGUGAUGAGAGAAAGGACCAUCUAUAAAAACAUGUAAUAAAAGGACAGAAAGUGAUAUGAUUUUUUUUUUUUUUUAAAUACUACUAAAAAAUGAAAAAUUCUUACCAAUUCACCUAUUGAUUCAAUUUUUCAAUCUUAGAAGUAGAGAGAGGGCAGCACGUAUGCAUAUAGACAACAACGAUGUUUUCUUUAUUUAAAAGAUUAACAAGUGUUGAAGAUUCAAAGCCGACAAUACCUCAUAAACACAAUCUUGUUGACUUCAGGUUGGAUCCAGCCGAAAAGACUAAUCUUUCAUAACACGAUGAUUUGAGUUCUGAUAAAAAAAAUACUCAUAUAUAAUGUUCGAUAAUGCAUCAAAUAAAAUUAUAAGGACAGAUGUUUUUAUCAGCGGUAGUUGAGUGUGUUGAUGAACAUGAAAUGCGCCGUCAUGUAUUGUGUAUUCUAACAUGCUCAUGUUGUUUUUUGACUAGUCAUUCAUUUGAGUUGUUUGGAACCAAAACAUGUUCUCUUGUGUUCGGUUUUUCGUACCUAGUACCAUUUCCUAAAUAAAUUUACUGUUUUUUUCUCUACUUUAACUUUACUUUUUUUAUUUUUAGUAUCAAUUUAUACCCUAAAAUGCCAUCGUCAUUGAUUGUGUUUCAUAAAGGAAGGCUCUUGGAAACUCACUAGUUAAUUUACGUAGCACAUAGACACCUCUCAUUAAGUAUCAUUAAGUAUAUGGAACCAAUCAGUGACAAUUUUGUUAAUAAAUUGACCUAACAUUAAGUAUUAUUUCUAUUUUCAAAAAAAUAAAAAAGGAACAAAUUUUUAUUAAAGAAGUGAUGAAAAAUAGUGUCGUGACAAAUCGAAUUAAUGAGAAAGGACCGACCAUCCAUAAAAACAUGCAAUAAAACGACAGAAAGUGAUACACGGGUUUUCCCUUUUUAUCAAUAAAUAAAUUUGGGUAUUUCCUUUUUAUCAUUAAUAAGUAGAAGAAGUAUAAAUAAAUAAUGAAAAUAAAAUUAAAAUUUCUUAUGAAUUACCCUUUCAAUUCAAUUUUUUAAUCACAUAAGCAAAGAGGGAGAAAUAACACAUAUGCAUAGAGACUCAUUUUUCUUUUGACUCAAAAACAAUAUUAGGACCAAUGUGGUUGGAUAAAAAAAAAAAAAAAAGUCUUUUCUAGUUUUUUAAUGUGAUAAAUCAAAGUUUGAAUAAAUGAUACGAUCACCUUUAAUAUCCAACGAUUCAUCAAACAAGAGUAAUUUCGGUAAAAAGAAAUAAAAUAAAAAAUCUAUAUAAGAUCAGAUUUUUCAUUUUUGAUAAAAAAAAAAAAAAAAAAAAAAAAAAAACAAGAUUUGAGACAGUUUUGCGGUUCUAAGUAGAUGAGAUUUUAUACUAACUACGAAACACAUGAAGAAAAAGAUUUACCUCCUUUCAAUGACACCAAUGUUUUAGUAUGUGUUUGAUUCCCGAAUCUUCUUACAUCAAACACGCGUCUAACAUACCACUAAUCGUGAAAAUUGCGAAGCUAGUAUUUGGUGCUUCGAAAAACCGCGUGUCUGCAUAGCCCCACCGUGGAUCCAAACAGACUUGUAGUAUAAGAUUUUUUUACUAGUAAGUAGAUAAGUGUGUUGAUCAUGAACAUGAGAUGCGCCGUCAUGUGUUGUAUUCUAACAUGCUCAAGCAGUUUGUUGCCUACUCAUUUCAUCUGUGUUGUCUGUGAACAAAAACAUUUUCUCUUGUGUUGUUUUUUUGUUCCUGGUAUCAUGAAUAAAUUUACCUAUUUUUUCACUACUUUUCAAUAUUUCACUUUUUGAUUUUCGGUAUCAAUUUAUACUCUGAGAUACUGUCAUUGAUUGUUUUAUAAAGGAAGAUAACAGUAACUCAGCAAAAUUACACUUUUAGUCCCUUAACUUAAUUUCAGGUAACAGUUUGGUCCUUUAUCUUUUUUUCAUUUCAAUUUGGUCCUUUUUGUCCAUUUUCAUAUGAAUUUUUAAGCUUAAAAUUCAUGAUUUUAUUUUCUUAUGGUCUUUCAAUCUUCAAAUCUAUGAUACUCGUCUAUGUUUGCAUAAGAAUAUUAGAUUUAAAGCUUGAAAAUGUAUAUAAAAAUGGACAAAAAGGACCAAAUUAAAAUAAAAAAAAGAUAAAGGACCAAAAUAUUAUCUGAAAUUAAAUUAAAGGACUAAAAAUAUAAUUUUGCCGUAACUCACUAAUGUAGAACCGUAGGCAACUCUCUUCACCGAUUUUCCACAAAAAACAUUUUGGAGAGGAUUUUCCGCAGAUUUUAAAUAACUCAUUUAAUAGAAUAACUAAUGCACAAAAAACAUCUAAAUAGCAUUAAUAAAUAUACACAAUUAAUUAGUUCCUCAGAUCCACGUUCAGUGGCCAUUUGUUUAAAAAUAUUCUAAAGAUAAUAAAAAUAACCAAGUAAAUUAUCUCAAGUGUUAAAUAAGCUGCACCAAAGACAGGUCGUUCAGGGGAGCCUGUGUUCGAUUACCAGGUAGAACAAUUAUUGGCUAGGUUAGGGAGUGUUUUUUUAUUCUUGGCCAGGCUAGGGAGUGUUUUUUUUAAUUGUAUUAUUUAAUUAGUAAUAUAUCUACUCCUUUUUUAGUUAUCAAAUUAGCAUGAAAACUUUCAGAAAUCAUGUCUCCGUGAGUUUUGAUCAAUUGAUAAGGAUGCUGCAUAAUAUAUGUAGUGGCGGAGUUCGAACCACAAACACCUAAUUUAUAUUUACUAGAUUACUUAACAAAAAAAUAUUUCAACUUAUUUCUCGUUUUUAAAAUUCAAUGCAAUAUUUGUGACUGUUUGCAAUUAAUAUCACUCUUUUUAAUGGUGAGGAUAUGAGACAUAAUAUAAAUAAAUCAUAUCAUACUCAUAUAUGUUUGAUGCAUCCAUUGGACAAGAUACAUUAAUCAUCUUUUUAAUCCGAUUAUGAUGCGGAUUUGUAUUUUCCAUCAUGAGAAUAUGCUGAGGUUAGAAAUAACAUGAUAGGAUUAGAAAUAAAAGUACAUUUUUCAAAUUUUAUAAAUAAAUAAAAAAUAGUAAACAAUCUAAUAAUUAAUAAAACAACUUUUAAAAAAUCACUGGCACUACUAAAUAAAAAUAAUUCCAAAUUAGAAAAAAAAAAAAAAAAAAAAAAAAAAAAAAAGCAAUUUACCAACUAAAUAAAAUAUAUGAUACAUAUUGUAUGUAAUGACAACAAUUCCCUUAUAAGAACAUUAUGCUUUUUUUAGGAAAAGAACAUUAUAGUUAAGUUGUUAGAAAAAUAAAUUAAUAUUCAUGUUUUUAUAAUAUUAAUAAAAAAAAAUUUUGAAGGAAUAAGAUUAAUAAACUUAUUUUCAAGUAUUCUACUAUCCAUAGAUUUAUAAUUUUCUAGACAAUAUUAAAUGAAAAAAAUUAAUUAAAAAAAAAUCAUCCAUGUUUUCUUAAUUUAAAUCUUGUAUUUUUAUUUUUUUGAAUUUAAUAUCAAAUGCUGUUUUAUUUUUGUUUUUAAAACUUAAAUUUUAUCAUAUUUAUUUGUUUCAUAAUUUAUAAUAUUUUAUAAUGAUAAAUGUAUAAAUUAUUUUCUUAUCAUAUUUCGUUGGUUUCUAACCCAACUCAUAUCUAAGAUAUAAAUUUAAAUUAGAGAUGCAUGAUAUUAUAAGAUUCAAUAUUAACUUGCGGAGUAUAUUGUAUUGUCGACAAACCUUUCAUCAAGACAAAAUAUGAUACUCCCUCCGUCUCUAAUUAUAAGACCCUUUUGAGAAUUUUUUUUGUCCCUUUUUAUAAGACAUUUUUGUUAUUUUCAACUACAUUAAUUAUUUCUUUACAUACAUGCCUCUAUUUAUUAUACAUCUUUUUCUUCAAUCAACAAUAAAUAACAUGUUGAAAACAUAAACUAACCUUCUUUCUUAAAGGAUAAAAUUGUAAAAACAAUAGUGAUUACAAACAACUUUAAUACAAAUAUCCACUAUCUUAAUUCCCGUGAUUUUGGUAAAAGGGUCUUAUAUAUAGGGACGGAGGGAGUAUAUUUCUCUCAUGCCUCUUUUAUCUUGGUCAUUAAAUGAGUCAUUGAUUAUUUACCGCAAAGAGGAUAGAUAGAUAAAAUGAUAUUCCUUAAGACUUAAGUUAAGAGUUAAAACAUCAAAAGAUAAAAAAACCAAAGGAACACUGGGAGUUAUUCUUGUGUCACUUCCUAUGAAUGGAAACAAUAGACUAUAUUGAUCUCAUUAUAAUUUUUUUUGAGGAGUGAUCUCAUUAUAAUUGUCUCAUUUUAACUGAGCAUGAUUUUUGAGAAAAUAAGAGUAAUUGUGUUUAAUUUGACAAUGAAACGAGUUUCUUUUACUAAAUCGUUAGUGAAGUUAUUAGAAUGAUUGAGAUACAAAUAAAAAUAUAUUACAAACGAGACACUUAUAAUUAAACGAAGGAAGUAAUAAAGGAUUACAUCCUUUAGUCUCUAUUAUAAAUAAAAAUUGAUAUUUUAGAUUCUUCAAUAAAUAAUGUACGUAGUCUUUAAUAUAUAUCAAAUACAUCAUUUAUAGAAUAAACCUAAAAUAUUAAAAUUUGCUUACAAUAGUAAUCGGAUGGUGUAGUUCAAGUCUAAUCUCUAUUUCUACAAAUACUAUUUUUUAUUAACUGAGUUAAUGUAAAGUUCACAUAAGUUUAAAAGCAUGUGGACCUAUGAUAUUUAUUUACUUUGGUUAUAGAAGCAUCAGUGGGAUACUCUAACUCUCUAAAGGAAUAUAUCAUAUAUUGACAAUUGAGAAUAUAGCCAAAAUGAGAAGUCGUUUUUGUCAAUUAUAGGAUAAUUUAUAUAAGGUUUAUCCAUAUGGCCCUUUUGUCAUGUUUCUCACAAGAGACAGAAAUGCUAUCGCAAUUAGAACAUAUUUCUCUUUGAAACUUGGAUGGGAAAGAAUAAAAAGAUGAUCGAUGUAGAUAUUUAGAGUAAGAUAUUUAAUUUGUAAAGUGACAGCCAAAAAUUUAUAAUGAAAGAGAGUUGUUCAACAAACAUACGUAGAUCGGAUUUUGCAUGCAUCAGCACAUGAAUGUGAGACAAUUGCUUAAUGUUAAGAAUUAACAUAUAUGUAAUUGUAGUGGUUUGGAUGAGAAGAUUAGAUAAUUAGAUUUUUUUUUGGAGAGAGAUUAUAUUAGAUAAUUAGAUAUUCUACUAUACUAGCUAAGGUCUUUCAUAUUUACAAUUUUGUUCUUUCUCUCAAAAUAAAAAAAAAUAAAAAAUAUUGUUCUUAAACAAUACUAUUAAUCAAAUGAUCUGACCAACUUAACUACCAACUUAUGAUCAACUAGACAAUACCUUCAAUUAUAGGAUUUACUUAAUUGUUGUUCAUUUAUAGAAUAUAUAAUGUGUAUUUUUUUUCUCAACUACUGAUCUUUUUAAAUGAUUUUUUCAAUUAUUUUUACUUUAAAAUAUAUUUGUUUAUUUUUAUAUAAAAGUCAGAAUUUUAUUGAUUGAAAAAAAUAGCAUAACCAUUGAGGACCAAGCCUAAACCCAAUUAAUUACAAGUAAAACAAAAUUAGGUAAACCUAUUAAGUCUCUAACAUAGAAAGGCCUAACAAAUCUAGGUAAAGAGUUACCACCAUUGACCAUUAACAAGAUCAAUGCCAUGCUUAGCUAAAGCAUCAAUCCCAAGUUAUGUGUACAUAUACUAUUCAAGCUCUUAGCUACUUUGUAAACAAUUUCUCCGACUAGUUCUGUCUGAUUAUUCUCGAACCACCAUUUUCUCAUUAUUGAAUGCAAACACCAUAACUUGCGAGGCACUCAUUAAGUCGGAUACUAAGUUAGAAAAAAACGAUAUGAUAAAUUAGACUCAGACAUUAUUAAUUAAUGAUAAAGCCUUUUUUUUUGUUUUUACAAGAAUUAAUUGAAUAGGCCUUUUGCUCCUUUUUUUAGGUAAAGCAGGAGAGAGGACAGCAUUAAGGAGAAGCAACGACAUCCUAAUUAGGUUGGCACCCCGAUGAACUCCCAUCCCGCACCGCCACCUUUUGCUCCUUAUUCUUUCAAAAAAUAAAAAAAGAUUUUGCUCUUCGUAAUUAAAUUUAAAGAUAAUAAAAUAAAUUUUCUAUAUAAGUUAUCAAAUUGCGUACGUGCCUAAAAAAGGGUUGCCUGCGUAAGUGAUUUUUUAUUUUUUUUAGUUGAGUUGCCUACGACCUACGUAAGUGAUUAUCACAGCAUUUCGUUAAGACAUGUAUAAGUGAAAUAUUUAUAUCAAAUAAUGCGAUAAUUUUAUUUCACAACUGUACAUUAACUUAUUAAUGAAAAAGAUUGAUUGCAAGUUGCCAAAUUUUUUAAUCUUGACUUUGGUGAAUUAAAAACUCUAGUUGAGAGAAAACUAUCCACCUUGUAUAUGCCUUCAGAUUCUCAUAUAGAGAUUAGUCAACAUAAUGAUGUACACUUUGCAUCUAAUUUUAUUAUAUGGUCACGAAAAAAAACAAAAUUAUUUAUAUAAAUUUGAGUUAUAUCUUGGAUAUUGAUAUAUCUAACCCACACUUCCACACAGGGCCGUCUUAACAAAUUCAUAGGCCCGGUUUUAAUUUUAUAAGGGAUGCAAAAAAAAAAAAUCUGGGCCCCAAAAAAAUAAAUAAGUUAUUUAAAAAAAAAUAUAAUUAAAAAUCACACUUUGGUGGGUCUUGAACACAUGACCUCACACUCAACAAAAAAUAGCCAUGCCACUAAAGCAAGCUGUACAAAUUGAAUAAAUUUGCUUUUAAUAGAUAUAUAAUCAUUAUUUUCGUGUCUUACAUAUAAAAAAAAUAUAUUUUGGGCCCCAAAAAAUUGGAGACCCGGUGUCGUCGCCCAGCCUCGACGGGCUAUGGGCCGGCCCUGCUUCCACAUUAAGAUAGAAAGAGUGGUCAAGAAUGAUGAGAAGGCAACAAGAAAUUCAUGUGUGACUGGUUGAGCUAGGAAGGAUUCACUAGAACCAUUUGAAUUUUUGUAACGGUAAGAAUUCAUGUGUAUGUUUUUUUUUAUGCAACUUGCAAUAUGAUUUAAUUUCGAAAAUAAAUCAACUAUACUGAUUUUAUUUUUUUUAAAUCAAGUAUCUUCUGUGCGCGUAGCUGCAGAGACUAAUCUCUCGAGCUGAGUAAGAGUUUUAACGUUGUUGCAUGUGUAAGGUAGAUUCUAGCCCUGGACUUUAGUCAAGUUAAAAGAUAUCUAUGUCAUCUCAUGUAUCAUACUCGUCUAUAAUACAUGUUAAAAUAGUUCUUUUGAAUCACCUAAGUGGUAUGGUAAAAUGUCCAACCAUUUCACUCCCCGUUUUGAUCUUUUUGAUUGUAUGAUUUUAUUUUAUUUUUUUACCUAAAUUUAUGGUAUUAGGUAGUAUAUUCAUUUUGAUGUUAGGUGAGCAUGAAGUACCAUAUAUACAUUUCCAUAACCAUUUAUUCAACUAAUUAAUUUUACUAACUUGUUGACCAGCUGCUACUGGUCUAUUACAGUUUAGUAUAGUAAAAGAAAAUGUUAAUUUUAUGUUAAUUUGUUGUAGUCAGGUUCAUUCUAUUCUCAUAAUUUAUUAUUGGGUCUUGUUAACCAAUGUCCUUAGGGUACUAGUUAAGGAUUCAAAUAUAGAAAUAAUUUAUAAGUUUUAUGUAAAUAAAUUUACUUUUUAAACUUUCAAUAUGUCAAAUACAUUAUUAGAUAAAAUUUCCUUUUUAAACUUCUUAAUAUUUCCCUUUAUUAUUAUAUGAAACAUUGAGUAAUUAUAUAUUUGAAACCUUAUAGUUUUCCUUUGUUUUUCUCGAAAUAAUAUGGCUUGAUUGACUAAAAAAAAGUUGCUUGCUUGGUACAUAAUCUUUAACACAAAAUUAGACAUCAAUAUUAUAUAUUUGUAUAGUAAUUACCAACUUUUAUGUUACUUUUUCUCUAACCUUGGGCAUUUUUUUCUCUCUUUAGGUUCAACAUGACUCAUUCAUAUAGUGUUGAUUUUCGUAAAUGACACAGUUGAUGCAACAAUGGUUGAUCACUUAACAAAAAAACAUCAACCUCAAUCAUAUGUUUAGACCUUACACGAAACACUGGAUUGGAAGCAACAACCUUUGCACUUAGAUUCUCACACAACAAAAUUUGCAUGGUUUAUUAUUAAUGGGUUGAUAUAUCAGCUGUAUUAUUUAGACGAAUAAAAACUAACAUCAUAUUCCGACACUAUAUACGAAUGAGUGUGGACAUCAAAUAUGAGGAAAAAAAAUAUCCUAUAAGAGAGAACAAAUUAUAGAAAAUUUAAAAACCGUAUAAAAAUACAGGGUUGAUGUCAGAUUUUGUGUCAAAAAACAUUUGAUGAUUUUCAUUACAAGCAUUGCCUAAAGCUCGUGCUUGUUUCUAAUUACUGUUUAGAUUUGAUGAUUUCAACCAUAAUAUUACCACUCAAUUUCAUUGUAAGCCACAGGAAAGUAAUUUAUUAAUUGAAAACAAAGGCUAAGAUGUGUCUUUUGAUAGUGUUGUACAUGUACUAUCUGUACUAUAGUUGUCUCCAAGAAACACAUGACACAUUGUGACUUGUGAGUCUUUGUGCCUUUUGACCGUCUUGGUUAUAUCAAAAUUUCAUUUGAUUAUAGGCGAGUGAAUGCAUGUCGUGUAACAAAAUUCAAUCACCUCUAUUUUUUUGGUAAGAUAAACCAAAUAACAAUAAUCAUUCAUUCCUUCCUUUAAAAAAAAUAAAAAUAAAUCAUAAAUAGAGUAGUCUGGAUUUGAACCUUGGUCCAGCGUACAACCUAACACUUUCUUCAUUUAUCUUAUUUGAUUGAAUGUGUCGGAUAUUUUUGCAACAAAUCUAAAAUCUUAUAAGCAUCUUUUGAAAUUCUUUCUUUGAGGUCCAAAGAACUUUUGCAUUAUAUUGUAUAUUGUACUUUGUGCAAUUUAUAGUGUUAAAGUUAUAGUAAUUUAGUAUAGCAUCUCGUUUCAUACCUUUUCUAAACAUCGAAAAUGUCUUAAUGUUGAUUUGGAAUCUUUCCAUUCAUGAACAUCAACUUAUUAUUACUUGGACAUCAAGGUUGUUUUCAUAGGUCGACCCCAUAAAUUGUAAUUGAUUCCAUUCAUAUGAAGUGAACAAGAACAAUUCCUAGUACGGCUUGAGGGAUUUUGAGACUAAUUUGCGACAUUAAGAGGUUUGUGUUGCUUGAACAGGCUUUAUCCACAUGAUUGACGAUUAAGGAACAAUGCAUUGAAAUAGAGAAUAUAGAGCCAGAGACAUUUUCCACCCAAGUUUUAGAUCCAUGAAUUAUCUUUGGUUUCUCUUGGUAGAAAAACUUUCUCCACUCUCCAACAUGUUUUUUUCUUUCUUUCUUUCUAAUACAAAGUUUUAUUGAAUAGGGUCCGGUGGUUAACCAGAGUCAAUGUAGAUCUUAAUGUUCACAGAACAUUUACAAAUUACACAACAACGAAGUUCUAACUUUGAAUGUGAGAUUUGAAGUCACGUUCUUAUCAUAUAUGAAUCAAUUUCUUACAAACCGGAGCAAUCUGCGUAGAUCUUCAACAUGAUUUCAUAUAUACACAUUUUCUAUGGUUAAAUUCUCGUACAUUUGGUACGUACCAACAAAUUACGUUCAUUUAAAUAUCUUGAUGGUUAACAUAUAUUAAAUUUCACGUAUACAUUUCGUACUAGCUUGUAUAAGUUCACUAGAACAUUUUUUAUGGUUAAAGAUUCACAUACAGUUAAAUACACACAUACUAUUGUAUUUCAGUUGACGUAACAAGUUAGUUUUAGCCGCUUAAGUUCAUGUGCAUAGUGCAUAUAAAAUAUGACUAAUGUUAAGCUAUAAAUUUUAUUUCAUCGACGCUUUUGGUAAAUAAGAUUAAAUUAUUAUAAUUGUUAAUGAUAGAAAAUAAUUAUUUUUUCUUCAAAAAACAAUCAAUUUAAUUAUUAAUUUAAUGUUUGAUGUACCAAUACAUUCAAAAUAUUGAGUGUACCAUAGAAUUUGCCAAUUAACAUACACCGUAUGAAUUGAAUUUGCCUAGUGUCUGUAGAUUGCAUGAACUGAAUUUGCAUACGUGUUAACACGAGUUUCAAAUGUAGAAAAAAAAAAUAGCAAACAGAGAAAAAGGUCACUUGUAUGUAGUUAAUGAAAGAUAUUAAAUAGAAUGUAUAUAAGGUAGGGGUUCUUGGGCAUUAUUGUUAAAUAAUUUGUUUUAAAGGGGUGUAACUAGGAUGUUGCAUGGUGUAAUUAUAAAAAAUCUUGUUUUUGUGAUAUUGGCCUAUGGACGGUAUUUCCUUAGAUCAAGUCUUUCAAAAGCUUAUAGAGCCCAAUUUUUCAAUAUCUUUUAAAAGUGGCUCGAUAAACAUCUCAAUUUCGCUUCCGAUCGAGUUGUAACUUCCGAUCAAUUGUUUUUGCGUGUAAAAUCCAACUAGAUCGUAACUCCCGGUUGACUUUUUUCAGCUAAAUGAUGGAUGGAUGGUUAAAAUAUAUUGCAUAAACUAUUGCAAAUUUAUAGUUUUUUAAAAGAAAAUUUAAAAUAGAGGAGAAAUUGACCAAAUAUAUGCCACCUAACACUAUUCACACUCCUAUUUUUGUUAAGGUUCGUUUACAAUACAAAUAAGCAUACAUACCCUGUAUUAUUUGAAGUGAGUAUACCCUGUUAAUGUUAAGUACACGUAUUCUUUUUUCUAUCAUAAAUUAUGUCACCUCAUAAUCACAUUGGUACAUUGGAUCAUCAGAUUUUAACAUAACCAUGUCAUCUCAUAAUAUAAUAUAGUUCAUAUGUAGAUAUAAUUGGUAAAAUUAUGUUCUCACAAACAUCCAAACCAAGAGUUCUGAUUUCAUUGGCCCCUUGAUAUAUGCUUUUUCCUUUGUGGACAUUCUAUGUUUGAUUAUCAGUAGAGAUGUUACAACUACAAGAAGGUUACAUUUCCUCUUUCACCAUAUCAUCUACAUCUCUAAGUAUUACAUCUCAACCAAAUCACCUUAUCAUAAUACACAAACCAUACUCCAUAAAUAACAAGCUAAAACUUAUCAACCAAAUCAGUAAAAUCACAAACAUCUUCUUACAAUGGCUGCAGUGUUUUGGGCAUUGGCUUUAGCAAGCCUAUGCUACCCUCUAGCCUCAAUCAAUGCUCAAUCACAUGCAGCUGCACCAUCCAAUUUGCCAAUUACAACUUCACCGUUUGUAGCGAAACAACAACCUGUUGUGGCAGCAAUUUCUCCUACUUCUAACAAACCCACAGCCACGGUCACGGCAGCUGCACCAUCGAAGUUGCCAACCACAAAUCCAUCGGAACCAUCAACACUGCCAUUAUACAAACAACAGCCUAUUGUGGCUGCAACUCCUGCUAGUAAUACAAACAAACAACAGCCUAUUGUGGCAGCAACUCCUGCUAGUAAUACAAACAAACAACCUGCAGCAACUUCUCCUACUUCUAACAAACCCAUAACCACAGUCACGGCAGCUGCACCAUCGAAGUUGCCAACAACGAAUCCAUCUGCACCUUCCACAUUGCCCCUAGACAAACAAAAGCCUAUUGUAGCAGCAACUCCUGCUAGUAGUACAAAGCAACCACCAGCAGCAACCUCUCCUAUUUCUAACAAACCCUCGACCACGAUCUCAGCAGCAGCACCAUCCAAAUUACCAACUAUAAUCCCUGCUGCACCUUCCAAGUUGCCAACGGCAGCUUCACCAACUUCUAGUACACCAUCCGCUGCUAAAAAACCACCUAUUGUCGUAGCAACUUCUCCCUUGUCUAGCAAACAACCAACCACCACUCAACCGCCUACAACUGCAAAAUCAUCCCCUGUAAAAUCACCAGUUCCUAAAGUUACGUCUCCAGCAUCUUCCCCUGUGAAGUCACCAGUCCCCAAAGUCGCGACCCCAACAUCUGCUCCCGUGAAGUCACCAGUUCCAAAAGCUACGACUCCAACAUCUGCUCCUGUGAAACCGCCAGUUCCAAAGGUUGCAACUCCAACGGUUGCACCGGCUAAACCACUGGUUCCCAAAGUUACAACUCCAACAGCUGCACCUGUGAAACCAAUAGUUCCAAAAACUACAACUCCAACAUCUGCUCCUUUGAAACCACCAGUUCCGAAAGCUCCCGCACCAAAACCUUCUCCUGUGAAACCACCAGUUCCAAAAUCAAAACCUCCAACAACUGCUCCUGUCAAAUCACCAGUUCCGGAUCCUCCAAAACUCGCUCCUGUAAAGUUGCCAGUCCCAAAGGUUACACCGGCAUUAAGCCCAAAAACCCCAUCCCCUAAAAUUCAACCACCACCACAUCCACCCAAAAAAGCACCUGUUUCUCUACCACCAUUAUCUAUACCACCUGUUUCACUUCCACCAUUACCAUUACCACCAGCUUCUAAACCACCAAAGGUAUCCCCAGCACCUGCAAAGGUUCCAAAAGCACCAGCACCGGCCAAAGAAGCACCAGCACCAGCACCUACACACAAAAAGAAAGCACCAGCACCCGCACCAGACAAAGAAACACCGGCACCAGCACCUACACACAAAAAGAAGAAAGCACCAAAAUCAUCACCUGUUCCUUCCCCAGCAAUUCUCCCACCAUCACCUGCACCAACACCUGCAAUAGACACACCAUCAUCAGCACCAGCACCAUCGCCUGAAGAUGAUGCGCCAGAACCACCGCCACCCCACAAGCACAAGAGAAGAAAACACAAGCAUAGUAAGCAUAAGAAACAUCACGCACUAGCUCUAGCACCAGAGCCUACAAGUUCAAGUUCAACAAUCAUUAGGAGGAGUCCCCCAGCACCACUGGCUGAUGAUAAUACUACAAUGAGUUC